UUGGGUCUGCUAAAUAUCAUUUUGUAGUUUGUAGUCUAGCAGACCCAAAUUUAUC
ensembl:ncRNA Y51H7C.22 ncRNA